rnacentral:rRNA from 1 species
GAUGAACGCUGGCGGCGUGCUUAACACAUGCAAGUCGAACGGUGAAGGCGGGGCUUGCUCUGCUGGAUCAGUGACGAACGGGUGAGUAACACGUGAGCAAUCUGCCCCUGACUCUGGGGUAAGCGCUGGAAACGGCGUCUAAUAUUGGGUACGAGAUGCGAAGGCACCUUCAGCAGCUGGAAAAAAUUUCUGUGAGGGCUGAGCUCGAGGCCUAUCAGCUUGUUGGUGAGGUAGUGGACCACCAAGGCGACGACGGGUAGGCGGCAUGGGAGGGUGACCGGCCACACUAGGACUAAGACACGGCCCAGACUCCUACGUGAGGCAGCAGGGGGGAAUAUUGCACAAUGGCCGAAAGCGUGAUGCGACGGCGCCGGGUGAGGAACGCCGGCCCACGGGUGAUAAACCUCUUUUAGCAGGGAAGAAGCGAAAGUGACGGUACCUGCAGAAAAAGCUCCGGCUAACUACGUG